UGGGGAAUAUUGCACAAUGGGCGAAAGCCUGAUGCAGCAACGCCGCGUGAGGGAUGACGGCCUUCGGGUUGUAAACCUCUUUUAGUAGGGAAGAAGCGAAAGUGACGGUACCUGCAGAAAAAGCACCGGCUAACUACGUGCCAGCAGCCGCGGUAAUACGUAGGGUGCAAGCGUUGUCCGGAAUUAUUGGGCGUAAAGAGCUCGUAGGCGGUUUGUCGCGUCUGCUGUGAAAUCCCGAGGCUCAACCUCGGGUCUGCAGUGGGUACGGGCAGACUAGAGUGUGGUAGGGGAGAUUGGAAUUCCUGGUGUAGCCGUGGAAUGCGCAGAUAUCAGGAGGAACACCGAUGGCGAAGGCAGAUCUCUGGGCCAUUACUGACGCUGAGGAGCGAAAGCAUGGGGAGCGAACA
rnacentral:rRNA from 1 species